GGGGUCAGAUGGCUGAGCGGUUAGGGAAUCGGGCUAUUAAUGUGAAGGUUGCCAGUUCGAUUUCCGGCCGUGUCAAAUGACGUUGUGUCCUUGGGCAAGGCACUUCACCCUACUUGCCUCGGGGGGAAUGUCCCUGUACUUACUGUAAAUCGCUCUGGAUAAGAGCGUCUGCUAAAUGACUAAAUGUAAACUCUGGCUAACACUAGGCUUACGUAAAGGGAGGCCAGAUAACAAAGCAACAAAACUAUAGGAAUGUGCUCAGUUUAUGCAAAUUUUAACAGCAAUUUUUUUUAACCCUUGUGUUCUCUUCGGGUCAUUCUGACCCAUCAGUCAUUGUUACCCACCGUCGUAUUGUGACAACUUUACCGCAUACAAAAACAAAGUGAAGCAUUUUCUUUUAACCGUCGGGCUGUCUCAGACCCUCCACAUUGCGAAGGUUAAAAGAAAAUGAUUUUUAUUUGUUUUUGUAUUGGGUAAAAUUGGGUAAACACAACGAUGGUUCGUUAUGAACCUUUGGGUCAUGUGACCCGAAGGCAGCACAAGGGUUAAUGUUUGUAGUAGUAAUGCACAAUGUAUACUUUUAAAAACCUCUGACCAUUUAUUUACAGAUACGCUCUAGGGAAACAUUUAACUUUGUGUCUCUUUUAUAACUUAUUUAGAAACUGUAUACCAGUGUUUCUCAACUGGUGUAACCACAUUUUUCUUUCCUUGAAAGGAACGUAGAGUAACGCCAUCACAGGGAACAUGUUACGUGUGCAGUUACAAGGCUGUAUCAUAGUGAAGUCAGCCUUUGUUAUUUAGAUUGUUAUAUAAUAGUACUUCUGUCUUUGUACUAAUUGUAUGUUGGCUCACUGUUGACAAUCUCUGGGUUGGCUGACUAUUCUUUACAUUACAUUUAUGAACAUUCAAUUUAAUUACUGAAAAAGGCUUGGUAAGAGUCCAGUAGAAUGUAGGUAGUAAUCAUUCACAGUGUUACCUCAAACCCAACACGUACAUUCAAAUAAACACAAUCAUCAAAUAAUUUUUUA